rnacentral:rRNA from 1 species
GAUGAACGCUGGCGGCGUGCCUAAUACAUGCAAGUCGAGCGAACAGACGAGGAGCUUGCUCCUUCGACGUUAGCGGCGGACGGGUGAGUAACACGUAGGUAACCUACCUAUAAGACUGGGAUAACUUCGGGAAACCGGAGCUAAUACCGGAUAAUAUUUCGAACCGCAUGGUUCGAUAGUGAAAGAUGGCUUUGCUAUCACUUAUAGAUGGACCUGCGCCGUAUUAGCUAGUUGGUAAGGUAACGGCUUACCAAGGCAACGAUACGUAGCCGACCCGAGAGGGUGAUCGGCCACACUGGAACUGAGACACGGUCCAGACUCCUACGGGAGGCAGCAGUAGGGAAUCUUCCGCAAUGGGCGAAAGCCUGACGGAGCAACGCCGCGUGAGUGAUGAAGGUCUUCGGACCGUAAAACUCUGUUAUUAGGGAAGAACAAACGUGUAAGUAACUGUGCACGUCUUGACGGUACCUAAUCAGAAAGCCACGGCUAACUACGUG